rnacentral:rRNA from 1 species
AUUGAACGCUGGCGGCAGGCCUAACACAUGCAAGUCGAGCGGAUGAAGGGAGCUUGCUCCUGGAUUCAGCGGCGGACGGGUGAGUAAUGCCUAGGAAUCUGCCUGGUAGUGGGGGAUAACGUCCGGAAACGGGCGCUAAUACCGCAUACGUCCUGAGGGAGAAAGUGGGGGAUCUUCGGACCUCACGCUAUCAGAUGAGCCUAGGUCGGAUCAGCUAGUUGGUGGGGUAAAGGCCUACCAAGGCGACGAUCCGUAACUGGUCUGAGAGGAUGAUCAGCCACACUGGAACUGAGACACGGUCCAGACUCCUACGGGAGGCAGCAGUGGGGAAUAUUGGACAAUGGGCGAAAGCCUGAUCCAGCCAUGCCGCGUGUGUGAAGAAGGUCUUCGGAUUGUAAAGCACUUUAAGUUGGGAGGAAGGGCAGUAAGUUAAUACCUUGCUGUUUUGACGUUACCAACAGAAUAAGCACCGGCUAACUUCGUG